rnacentral:rRNA from 1 species
UACGUAGGUGGCAAGCGUUUGUCCGGAAUUAUUGGGCGUAAAGCGCGCGCAGGCGGUCUCUUAAGUCUGAUGUGAAAUCCCGUGGCUUAACCACGGGCGGUCAUUGGAAACUGGGGGGACUUGAGUGCAGAAGAGAAGAGCGGAAUUCCACGUGUAGCGGUGAAAUGCGUAGAGAUGUGGAGGAACACCAGUGGCGAAGGCGGCUCUUUGGUCUGUAACUGACGCUGAGGCGCGAAAGCGUGGGGAGCGAACAGG